UUAAAAAAUUGUCUUUACAUUUGUUCCAUUCUAUUCGAGAAGAUUAGCAUGUCCCCUGCGCAAGGAUGACACGCAAAUUCUUGAAGCGUUCCAUAUUUUU
rnacentral:snRNA from 1 species